rnacentral:tRNA from 1 species
GCAGUGGUAGUUCAGUGGUAGAAUUCUCGCCUUCCACAUGGGAGACCUGGGCUCGCUUCCUGGCCAAUGCA